rnacentral:rRNA from 1 species
CGUGUAGGCGGCUGAAUAAGUCAGAUGUGAAAUCCCUGGGCUUAACCCAGGACGUGCAUUUGAAACUAUUCAGCUUGAGUAGGGGAGAGGAAAGUGGAAUUCCUGGUGUAGAGGUGAAAUUCGUAGAUAUCAGGAGGAACACCGGUGGCGAAGGCGACUUUCUGGCCCUAUACUGACGCUGAGACGCGAGAGCGUGGGUAGCAAACA